rnacentral:rRNA from 1 species
GACGAACGCUGGCGGCGUGCCUAAUACAUGCAAGUAGGACGCAGUUGCGAACGGGUGAGUAACGCGUAGGUAACUACCUCUUAGAGGGGGAUAACUAUUGGAAACGAUAGCUAAUACCGCAUACUAGUAGAUGGACCUGCGUGGUAUUAGGUAGUAGGUCGGGUAAUGGCCUACCUAGGCAACGAUACAUAGCCGACCUGGGAGGGGGGUCGGCCAAAAUGGGACUGGGAACAGGGCCAGACUCCUACCGGAUGGAGCAGGUGGGAAACUUCGGCAAGGGGGGGAACCUUGACCGGGCAACGCCGCGGGAGGGAAGAAGGGUUUCGGAUCUGAAAGCUCUGGUGUUAAGGAAGCGGUACUUAACCAGAAAGGGACGGCUAACUACGUGCCAGCCGCCGCGGUAAUAC